rnacentral:rRNA from 1 species
UACGUAGGGGCUAGCGUUGUCCGGAAUCAUUGGGCGUAAAGAGCGUGUAGGCGGCCGGUAAGUCCGCUGUGAAAGUCGGGGCUCAACCUCGGAAGCCGGUGGAUACUGUCGGGCUAGAGUACGGAAGAGGCGAGUGGAAUUCCUGGUGGUAGCGGUGAAAUGCGCAGAUAUCAAGGAGGAACACCGAUGGCGAAGGCAGCGUCGCUGGGACGUACUGACGCUGAGACGCGAAAGCGUG